rnacentral:rRNA from 1 species
GAUGAACGCUGGCGGCGUGCCUAAUACAUGCAAGUCGAGCGAACAGACGAGGAGCUUGCUCCUUCGACGUUAGCGGCGGACGGGUGAGUAACACGUAGGUAACCUACCUAUAAGACUGGGAUAACUUCGGGAAACCGGAGCUAAUACCGGAUAAUAUUCCGAACCGCAUGGUUCGAUAGUGAAAGAUGGCUUUGCUAUCACUUAUAGAUGGACCUGCGCCGUAUUAGCUAGUUGGUAAGGUAACGGCUUACCAAGGCAACGAUACGUAGCCGACCUGAGAGGGUGAUCGGCCACACUGGAACUGAGACACGGUCCAGACUCCUACGGGAGGCAGCAGUAGGGAAUCUUCCGCAAUGGGCGAAAGCCUGACGGAGCAACGCCGCGUGAGUGAUGAAGGUCUUCGGAUCGUAAAACUCUGUUAUUAGGGAAGAACAAACGUGUAAGUAACUGUGCACGUCUUGACGGUACCUAAUCAGAAAGCCACGGCUAACUACGUG